rnacentral:rRNA from 1 species
AGUGAACGCUGGCGGUAGGCCUAACACAUGCCAGUCGAACGGCAGCACAGUAAGAGCUUGCUCUUACGGGUGGCGAGUGGCGGACGGGUGAGGAAUACAUCGGAAUCUACUUUUUCGUGGGGGAUAACGUAGGGGAACUUACGCUAAUACCGCAUACGACCUACGGGUGAAAGCAGGGGAUCUUCGGACCUUGCGCGAUUGAAUGAGCCGAUGUCGGAUUAGCUAGUUGGCGGGGUAAAGGCCCACCAAGGCGACGAUCCGUAGCUGGUCUGAGAGGAUGAUCAGCCACACUGGAACUGAGACACGGUCCAGACUCCUACGGGAGGCAGCAGUGGGGAAUAUUGGACAAUGGGCGCAAGCCUGAUCCAGCCAUACCGCGUGGGUGAAGAAGGCCUUCGGGUUGUAAAGCCCUUUUGUUGGGAAAGAAAAGCAGCAGGUUAAUACCCCGCUGUUCUGACGGUACCCAAAGAAUAAGCACCGGCUAACUUCGUG